CGGACGGGUGAGUAACGCGUGGGUAACCUGCCUUAUACAGGGGGAUAACAGUCAGAAAUGGCUGCUAAUACCGCAUAAGCGCACAGAGCUGCAUGGCUCAGUGUGAAGAACUCCGGUGGUAUAAGAUGGACCCGCGUUGGAUUAGCUUGUUGGUGGGGUAACGGCCCACCAAGGCGACGAUCAGUAGCCGGCCUGAGAGGGUGAACGGCCACAUUGGGACUGAGACACGGCCCAAACUCCUACGGGAGGCAGCAUG
rnacentral:rRNA from 1 species